rnacentral:rRNA from 1 species
CGAACGAACUCUGGUAUUGAUUGGUGCUUGCAUCAUGAUUUACAUUUGAGUGAGUGGCGAACUGGUGAGUAACACGUGGGAAACCUGCCCAGAAGCGGGGGAUAACACCUGGAAACAGAUGCUAAUACCGCAUAACAACUUGGACCGCAUGGUCCGAGUUUGAAAGAUGGCUUCGGCUAUCACUUUUGGAUGGUCCCGCGGCGUAUUAGCUAGAUGGUGAGGUAACGGCUCACCAUGGCAAUGAUACGUAGCCGACCUGAGAGGGUAAUCGGCCACAUUGGGACUGAGACACGGCCCAAACUCCUACGGGAGGCAGCAGUAGGGAAUCUUCCACAAUGGACGAAAGUCUGAUGGAGCAACGCCGCGUGAGUGAAGAAGGGUUUCGGCUCGUAAAACUCUGUUGUUAAAGAAGAACAUAUCUGAGAGUAACUGUUCAGGUAUUGACGGUAUUUAACCAGAAAGCCACGGCUAACUACGUGCCAGCAGCCGCGGUAAUACGUAGGUGGCAAGCGUUGUCCGGAUUUAUUGGGCGUAAAGCGAGCGCAGGCGGUUUUUUAAGUCUGAUGUGAAAGCCUUCGGCUCAACCGAAGAAGUGCAUCGGAAACUGGGAAACUUGAGUGCAGAAGAGGACAGUGGAACUCCAUGUGUAGCGGUGAAAUGCGUAGAUAUAUGGAAGAACACCAGUGGCGAAGGCGGCUGUCUGGUCUGUAACUGACGCUGAGGCUCGAAAGUAUGGGUAGCAAACAGGAUUAGAUACCCUGGUAGUCCAUACCGUAAACGAUGAAUGCUAAGUGUUGGAGGGUUUCCGCCCUUCAGUGCUGCAGCUAACGCAUUAAGCAUUCCGCCUGGGGAGUACGGCCGCAAGGCUGAAACUCAAAGGAAUUGACGGGGGCCCGCACAAGCGGUGGAGCAUGUGGUUUAAUUCGAAGCUACGCGAAGAACCUUACCAGGUCUUGACAUACUAUGCAAAUCUAAGAGAUUAGACGUUCCCUUCGGGGACAUGGAUACAGGUGGUGCAUGGUUGUCGUCAGCUCGUGUCGUGAGAUGUUGGGUUAAGUCCCGCAACGAGCGCAACCCUUAUUAUCAGUUGCCAGCAUUAAGUUGGGCACUCUGGUGAGACUGCCGGUGACAAACCGGAGGAAGGUGGGGAUGACGUCAAAUCAUCAUGCCCCUUAUGACCUGGGCUACACACGUGCUACAAUGGAUGGUACAACGAGUUGCGAACUCGCGAGAGUAAGCUAAUCUCUUAAAGCCAUUCUCAGUUCGGAUUGUAGGCUGCAACUCGCCUACAUGAAGUCGGAAUCGCUAGUAAUCGCGGAUCAGCAUGCCGCGGUGAAUACGUUCCCGGGCCUUGUACACACCGCCCGUCACACCAUGAGAGUUUGUAACACCCAAAGUCGGUGGGGUAACCUUUUA